ACUGUUGGCUUUCUGACCGAAUGGUAGACUCCCACCCUUGUGUAUUAUUACUUUGUUGCUUUGGCGAGCUGCCUUCGGGCCUUGUAUGCUCGCCAGAGAAUACCAAAACUCUUUUUAUUAAUGUCGUCUGAGUACUAUAUAAUAGUUAAAACUUUCAACAACGGAUCUCUUGGUUCUGGCAUCGAUGAAGAACGCAGCGAAAUGCGAUAAGUAAUGUGAAUUGCAGAAUUCAGUGAAUCAUCGAAUCUUUGAACGCACAUUGCGCCCCUUGGUAUUCCGGGGGGCAUGCCUGUUCGAGCGUCAUUUCAACCCUCAAGCUUAGCUUGGUAUUGAGUCUAUGUCAGUAAUGGCAGGCUCUAAAAUCAGUGGCGGCGCCGCUGGGUCCUGAACGUAGUAAUAUCUCUCGUUACAGGUUCUCGGUGUGCUUCUGCCAAAACCCAAAUUUUUCUAUGGUUGACCUCGGAUCAGGUAGGGAUACCCGCUGAACUUAAGCAUAUCAAUAAGCGGAGGAA
rnacentral:rRNA from 1 species